rnacentral:rRNA from 1 species
AGUGAACGCUGGCGGUAGGCCUAACACAUGCAAGUCGAACGGCAGCACAGUAAGAGCUUGCUCUUACGGGUGGCGAGUGGCGGACGGGUGAGGAAUACAUCGGAAUCUACUUUUUCGUGGGGGAUAACGUAGGGAAACUUACGCUAAUACCGCAUACGACCUACGGGUGAAAGCAGGGGAUCUUCGGACCUUGCGCGAUUGAAUGAGCCGAUGUCGGAUUAGCUAGUUGGCGGGGUAAAGGCCCACCAAGGCGACGAUCCGUAGCUGGUCUGAGAGGAUGACAAGCCACACGGGAGUGGAAACAGGCCCAAGAGCCCUCGGGAGGGCAGCAGUGGGGAAUAUGGGACAGGGGGGGCAAGCUUGACCAACCAGUCCCGGGUGGGUAAAAAGGGCGUUGGGUUUGAAAGGCCUUUUUGUGGGGAAAAAAAAGCAGCGGCUAAAACCCCCGCUGUCGUGACGGUACCAAAAAAAAAAGCACCGGCUAAUUUCGUC